UUUGCUUAUUAUUUUUGUGUAUUAUUUCAAUUAUUAUUUUUGUGUUGUGUGUGUUAAUUUUUCAUAGGAUAGUUUAGGUAGCAGCUGGCCAGCCGAGCACCUACAAAAUUAUAACCAAUACGAAGAUAAUAUGAAGAAAGGAAGAAAAAAGCUAUGUUUCGGAACUCUAUAAUCAAUGCGUUGUAGAAGAGAGAAGAAUCAGUUAUACCAUGGUAAAACUUCUGUGCGCAGAAAAGAUUAUUUAUGAGUAAUACUUAACAAGUCGAUGAUCGACAAAAAAUUUAAGCACAUGAAGCACCAUAAUUAUUAGAUGACACGAUGCUAAAAUAAACGAGUGGCCCACCCUACUAGAUACUGCAUUUAUUUGAG